AACCUAACCAUUAGACAUCUAUGAUGCCUCAGGUUAAAGGACUACUUUGCAUAUUGCAACUUUCGAGUUCUUUACAUGACAUGUAUGUUCGAACUUUCUUUUGAUCGUUGUUCAGUGUACUCGAUUACUCUUUCGAGCACCUAUGUGUUUGUCUUAGUGUCCAACACCAAAUGACUUGAGACUAGUCAUACUCACGCUUGAGUCAACAUAACAUAUACUAGC
rnacentral:lncRNA from 1 species